rnacentral:rRNA from 1 species
AUUGAACGCUGGCGGCAUGCUUUACACAUGCAAGUCGGACGGCAGCGGGGGUGCUUGCACCUGCCGGCGAGUGGCGAACGGGUGAGUAACAUAUUGGAAUGUACCGAGUAGUGGGGGAUAACCAAUCGAAAGAUUGGCUAAUACCGCAUACGUCCUGAGGGGGAAAGCAGGGGAUCUUCGGACCUUGCGCUAUUUGAGCAGCCAAUAUCUGAUUAGCUAGUUGGUGGGGUAAAGGCCCACCAAGGCGACGAUCAGUAGCGGGUCUGAGAGGAUGAUCCGCCACACUGGGACUGAGACACGGCCCAGACUCCUACGGGAGGCAGCAGUGGGGAAUUUUGGACAAUGGGGGCAACCCUGAUCCAGCCAUGCCGCGUGUCUGAAGAAGGCCUUCGGGUUGUAAAGGACUUUUGUUAGGGAAGAAAAGGGAAGUGUUAAUACCACUUUUUGCUGACGGUACCUAAAGAAUAAGCACCGGCUAACUACGUGCCAGCAGCCGCGGUAAUACGUAGGGUGCGAGCGUUAAUCGGAAUUACUGGGCGUAAAGCGAGCGCAGACGGUUACUUAAGCAGGAUGUGAAAUCCCCGGGCUCAACCUGGGAACUGCGUUCUGAACUGGGUAGCUAGAGUAUGUCAGAGGGGGGUAGAAUUCCACGUGUAGCAGUGAAAUGCGUAGAGAUGUGGAGGAAUACCGAUGGCGAGGGCAGCCCCCUGGGAUAAUACUGACGUUCAUGCUCGAAAGCGUGGGUAGCAAACAGG